GUCCCCGUAGUUCAAUUGGACAGAACGUCUCCCUCCGGAGGAGAAGAUUGGCUGUUCGAGUCAGCCCGGGGACA
rfam:Candidatus Berkelbacteria bacterium RBG_13_40_8 RBG_13_scaffold_11200, whole genome shotgun sequence.